rnacentral:rRNA from 1 species
UACAGAGGUGGCAAGCGUUGUUCGGAAUUACUGGGCGUAAAGGGUGCGUAGGCGGCGCGGUAAGUCGGGUGUGAAAUCUUGGAGCUUAACUCCGAAACUGCAUUCGAUACUGCCGUGCUUGAGGACUGGAGAGGAGACUGGAAUUUACGGUGUAGCGGUGAAAUGCGUAGAUAUCGUGAGGAAGACCAGUGGCGAAGGCGGAUCUCUGGACAGUUCCUGACGCUGAGGCGCGAAGGCCAGGGGAGCAAAACGGG